AGCUGAGCCCUGGGUUGCGGGGGAUGGGGCAGCAGGUGGAAGGGGCAGCAGGUGGAGGGGGCAGCACUCUAUCCUCCAACCAGAUCAGCCCCACUCAUCAGACUCCUUCCUGGGCCUCUGGGUGGACGGUGUGUUGGUGAAAGGAAGCUGAAGAAUAGCUCUGAGGUGGGCUGGUCUGCACAGCCCAGGAAGGGACACAGAGGGGACUCUUGGGGAUCUUGGAGAGAGGGUCUAGGGCCAUCCAGGGCUCCUGAAGUGAAAUCCACCCCUGCUCCACCCACACACUGCUCCACCAGGCUGUGGGCAUGGAGCCUGGGGAAGAGAGCCACAAGGGCCGGGGUGGCUGGCAGCGCCACAGGAGAGGGUGGUGCUGGCCCAGGCAUGUUGCUGUACACCCACCUCCUCUGUACACUCGGUCCACACACCUGCUGCUUACACCCGGGUCACCCCAUGUGGCCUGGAAGUCAUUGCAGGAGGAUGACCUGAGGGUUGCUCCAGACAGCCAGGAGGGCACAGCCAGACCCUCCGCCCUCAGAGCUGCUGGGAUCCAUCCCCCAGGACUGUUGGAGGCACAGCAGAGCCACAUGCAGCCUCCGGGGGCUGUGGCCUCUGCCCCUCCUGCUCUCUCCUCUCUUGGGUCCUUGGCCCCAGAAUCUCUGCCUUUGCCCUCGCUGGGCUCCACUGAGAGCCUGGUUCCCAUCGCCUCCUCAGUGCCUCCUGCCAGAUGGAGCUGUUCCGGCCAGCCGCUGUUUCCUGUUUGCUUUCUCCCCAGCACCUCUCCCUGCCCACGGAAGGCCCUGGGCACGGACCUGCCAUGUCCGCGUCUGCAGCCUGUGGUGCAAGCGGCCCGCCCACGGCAGACCCCAGGUGCUCUGACCUUUGCGACCACCGGAGCCCCACAGUCCAGGGUCCCCUGGCAGCCUCCUCUGUUGGACCGUCAGCUGUUGCCUGGUGUAUUGAGUUCUCCAAGAGGCAGAACCAACAGGAUAUGUAGGGCCUUGCCUCUCCUAAACCUCAGGCACCUGGCCCACUGUGCUUCCAAAUACAUGAUGAUGGAGCCACCCAAUGCCAGCAGUGAAGGAGCCUCCACAAGGCGCCAGGACUGCAACGCCCAGAGGAGGAUGACGUUCUGCAUACUUCUCCCUCCCUCCACUACACCCCAUCCUCCCCAGGUGACCCCAGGUCAAAGUGAGCAGACGUGACGGUCAGCUGAAGGGACCAUUGGCUUUACUGACCCAAGAGGUAUUCAGCGCACAGAGCCUGCCUGGGCUUGCCCUGGGAGCCAGGCCCCAGCUCUGCACACCAGCCUCUCUUCGGGGAAGGCCUGCUGUACACGAAGGUAAUGCCCACCACUCAGACAGAGGAGCUGUGACAGGCACUGGGACUUAAGGAAAGAUGACCAGGGAAAAUAAAUGGUAAGUUAAAAUGGAGCGAUUCUACCACUCACUCUCCUGUCCCCAUGAAUUGGGAAAAGAAGGACAUUGUUCAGCAAAGAUGGGCUGCAGCAUCCCCUGGUGUGUCUGCGGACCCCGUCCUAUCUAACUUCUAUGUGGUGGGUGAAGUCAGCUUGGCAACCCUGUCCUGCUCGCAUUCUGGUCACUCUGUGGCCUGAACCAGCUCCCAUGGUUUUCCCUAGGGAUAGCAAUUCCCACCUGAUCACAUGCAAACCCACUGGAGAUGUUAAGGUCUCUGCAGCCACACCCCCUGCCUGAGCACGGGUGCACCUUCAAGGCCUGGCAGUUCCGACUCGGCCCUCGAGGCCCAGGCUCCUCCUGUGGGGUGGGGGUGGUGAUCUGGGGGCUGAGGGGCUUUAUGUGCAAGGGGUUUUGUGGGAAGGCCUCACACCCUAAGGGCCUCGUGCCGAAACCUGCCAGGACUGAGGCCUCCUGGUCACCAUGCAAGACCCCAAGGUUAGGACGGGGUCUCCUCAGUGCUUGGUCCCUUGGGUGAAGUGACAUCUUGGUGCUGGUAUGGUCGGAACAUGUCUCCGGAGUCCACACACUGGAAACCGGGCCAGCGCAGCCGUGAAGGAUGGGACAUUCAGGAGGUGACCCUGUCACAAGGUUCUGCCCUGGCCGGUGGGUCGAGGCUGCUGUCUUGGUGGUGGGCUCCAUACCAGAGGGCGGUUCGCCCCAUCUCUGCCUGCACUCCCUCAAAUUAUCACACAGCAAGGAGGCCUCACCAGAUGUGGCCUCUGGGUCUUGACCCUCCAGCUUCCAGAACUGCAAGCCACGGAGAUUCCUACUCCUUGUGGGUUCCCGAGUCUGUGGCCAAAGUGGACACAGGGAGGGACUGACCGGAUCUGGGGUGCUGUGCCCCACCGGCCGUGGAAAGUGCACGCUGGCCACUCACUGCCGCGUAGGCCUCUCCUUGCAAUUGUCCUCAGCUAGAGGUGCUGGCCUGCCCAAGGUUGUUCUCCACUGAGGAGCAGCCCAUCCAACGGAGCCUGACUGUGGGGCUACCCCUUGCCUCUGGGAGUUCCUGCUGUCCAGCUUCCAGCUUCACCCAGCUCCGCUUCCCUCUGCCUGUGGGCUCCCUCCUCCUCAUGGGGCUGCUCUGGAGCCCCAGAGCUCUCUGUGUCCCCUGAAGGCUGCUGUGAGGACCUCAGACAGGAAGGAGAGCAAAGGGUCUCCACGGAGGGAAAGAGUGGACAGAUAGGGUUCGGGGACAGGAAACGAGCUUUCCUCAUUCAGUGCACCGUAAUAGGUCCUGCUGUUUGGUACCACCUAGCCUGUAGUUACAUUUUUGAGUAAAUAAAGGAAAGAAUUAGUGAACUGGUAAGAAGAGGAAAAUAUGUACGUUCUGCACGAAAUUGGGGGCUUUUUUUUUAAAGCUCUUUAGUAUGUUCCACUCACCGUUUUCUUUUCAGUAAUGAGACCCAAACUCCAAGGUCCCACGGCCAGAGAGGGCUCCAAGAGGAUUGUGACAGACUCAGCAUUGCUGAUCGUCAGGAGUUGCAGUGAACACAAGGAUGCCUUUGUGGACUCCCGCUUCUGUGUGAAAUAUGCUGGUACCUGAUGAUCUCCAGUUCCUUCUUGCUGUGUUGUACCAUAAAGAUGACUGAUUAGACCAGUUUCCGGUUACCAUGGUGAUGAGGUUGCUAUGGUGAUGCCUCAAUUAAAGCUGGCUUGGGUCAGGCCAUGGAGACAGUGAUGCUCCCUCCCACAUGUGCACGCAGCAGUCCUGUGUUGUGUCUGGGGAAGAAGGCUGGAGAAGGUUUGGGGACUUACACUUUUCUCCCUACCUCUUUCUGAGUCCAAGCUGCUCAUGUGAGAAUUCUGAAGUUUCCCGCUUCCAACGUUGUGACAAAGAGUCAGUGAGGUGACUUAAUUUUUUCCUAAUGAGCUAGAUCUUGGCCCCUUUUAUUUUGAGACAGGGUUUUGCUGAGUGGCUAAAUUGCCUACAAUGAGCUUGGUCUGUGAUCAUCCUGCUUCAGCCCCCAGAGUGCUGGGAUCGCAGGCUUACACCCGACGCCAGGCUGGAGAUGACGUAUUUGAAACCUGUGGCAAGCAGCAUGUCCAGAAAGUCUGCCCAGAGCUCGGUGCUGAAAGGACUGUGUCUUAGAACUGUCUCAGUUUCCCAGGCAGCUCUAGCUUCCCCCUCAUGGAGCUGGCUUCCUGUUGGCUGUCGUUGAUGAAGUGCUUUUACCAACCCUGGGUUCUAGGCAGCAUCUGACCUUUUCUUCAAUGUUGGAGGACACAGGCAACAGCUAACUAACUUCUGAAACCAUUUCCCAAUCCUCAGACAGAAGCCUGAACAAAUAGUGACACCCUCUAAUAAAGAAUGUAGUUUUUCGUUUAUAUUGUU